AAAACUUGGUAUGAAAUGUGUCUUUACUUGAUAGUGGGAAUAUGGAUCAGAUCUUGUCAUCCUCUGACCAAUGAGAAGUCAGGGAGUUUGUUUUUAUGCAUCCCUGUGGGCGCUCUGACGAAAGAAGUGAUAGAUGUUGGGUGGGGAGACACCGGAAAGGUAAACGCAGGUGCUGCAGAUGCAGGACAUUCUGCUCGUGUGGAGAGCGCUGUCAUCCUGUUUAUCCACGCUUGAGUGUUCGGAGGAGCCGAGGGCACACUGCAGAAGAGUUGAGGAAAAUUGCACAUGACCCAGAUAAGCUGAGCACACUCUCUGACAAGGUUUAAUUUAAUUACGGGGCAAUUAAUGAUCAGUAUGAAGCAGCGGGUGGCUGGCACCACCACCGGAGUCGAUGAUCACCCAACAAGGCAUCUACCUGCGUGCAUGGCAACCGCAAUGCAUUACAU